ACAGUCAUAUAUUGUAUAUAACCAUGAAGUUGAAUUAUAAAUUCAUUCAAUACAUGAUAGAAGCGGAAACUAUAACCAUCGGUAAAAUAGAUUUCCAGCAAAGGAUCCUUAAAACGGACCGAGAAACAUUUAAGAUUGAACAUAAAUAAGUCAUCUUCAUGGUUAUAUACAAUAUAUGACUGUACAUAAUAUAACCGGGGGAUCUUUAUAAUUAGGCAGAACAAUGAAACUGUGGGCACCAGGAGAUUAAGACGACCCUUAUGGAUUCAAAUAUGAUGAAACCACGAAAGAAACAAUGCAAGCCCCAGAAUAAUGCUACAGUGGGAUAUUAGAUCCGAAUGUG
rnacentral:misc_RNA from 1 species